UACGGAGGAUCCGAGCGUUAUCCGGAUUUAUUGGGUUUAAAGGGUGCGCAGGCGGGAUGUUAAGUCGGCGGUGAAAUUUUGCAGCUCAACUGUAAAAGUGCCUUCGAUACUGGCUUUCUUGAGUGUGGAUGAAGUAGGCGGAUUUGUGGUGUAGCGGUGGAAUGCUUAGAUAUCACGAGGAACUCCGAUUGCGCAGGCAGCUUACUAAACCACUACUGACGCUCAUGCACGAAGGCGUGGGGAUCAAACAGGAUUAGAUA
rnacentral:rRNA from 1 species